GGGGAAUUUUCCGCAAUGGGCGAAAGCCUGAUGGAGCAACGCCGCGUGAGUGAAGAAGGUCUUAGGAUUGUAAAGCUCUGUCCUUAGGGAAGAACCGUGGGUAUAGUUAAUGAUACCCACCUGACGGUACCUUUGGAGGAAGCACUGGCUAACUACGUGCCAGCAGCCGCGGUAAUACGUAGAGUGCAAGCGUUGUCCGGAAUUAUUGGGCGUAAAGGGUACGCAGGCGGAUAAUCAAGUCAAGCGUGAAAGGUGUCGGCUUAACCGACAGACUGCGUUUGAAACUGGUUAUCUUGAGUGUAACAGAGGAGAGUGGAAUUCCUAGUGUAGUGGUGAAAUACGUAGAUAUUAGGAAGAACACCAGUGGCGAAGGCGACUCUCUGGGUUAACACUGACGCUGAGGUACGAAAGCUGGGGGAGCGAAAGGGAUUAGAUACCCCAGUAGUC
rnacentral:rRNA from 1 species